CCUACGGGGGGUAGCAGUGGGGAAUAUUGCACAAUGGGGGGAACCCUGAUGCAGCGACGCCGCGUGAGUGAAGAAGUAUUUCGGUAUGUAAAGCUCUAUCAGCAGGGAAGAAAAUGACGGUACCUGACUAAGAAGCCCCGGCUAACUACGUGCCAGCAGCCGCGGUAAUACGUAGGGGGCAAGCGUUAUCCGGAUUUACUGGGUGUAAAGGGAGCGUAGACGGUUAUGCAAGUCUGAAGUGAAAGCCCAAGGCUCAACCAUGGGACUGCUUUGGAAACUGGAAAACUGGAGUGCAGGAGAGGUAGGCGGAAUUCCUAGUGUAGCGGUGAAAUGCGUAGAUAUCACGCAGAACCCCGAUUGCGAAGGCAGCCUUCCGGCGCCCUACUGACGCUGAGGCACGAAAGUGCGGGGAUCGAACAGGAUUAGAUACCCUGGUAGUC
rnacentral:rRNA from 1 species